rnacentral:tRNA from 1 species
UCUCUGGUGGCUCAGAGGGUAAAGCAUCUGUCUUCAAUGCAGGAGACCUGGGUUCGAUCCCUGGGCAGGGAA